AGUGAACGCUGGCGGUAGGCCUAACACAUGCCAGUCGAACGGCAGCACAGUAAGAGCUUGCUCUUACGGGUGGCGGGUGGCGGACGGGUGAGGAAUACAUCGGAAUCUACUUUUUCGUGGGGGAUAACGUAGGGAAACUUACGCUAAUACCGCAUACGACCUACGGGUGGAAGCAGGGGAUCUUCGGACCUUGCGCGAUUGAAUGAGCCGAUGUCGGAUUAGCUAGUUGGCGGGGUAAAGGCCCACCAAGGCGACGAUCCGUAGCUGGUCUGAGAGGAUGAUCAGCCACACUGGAACUGAGACACGGUCCAGACUCCUACGGGAGGCAGCAGUGGGGAAUAUUGGACAAUGGGCGCAAGCCUGAUCCAGCCAUACCGCGUGGGUGAAGAAGGCCUUCGGGUUGUAAAGCCCUUUUGUUGGGAAAGAAAAGCAGCAGGUUAAUACCCCGCUGUUCCGACGGUACCCAAAGAAUAAGCACCGGCUAACUUCGUG
rnacentral:rRNA from 1 species